rnacentral:rRNA from 1 species
GUAACGGCGAGUGAAGCGGCAACAGCUCAAAUUUGAAAUCUGGCCUCUUCGGGGUCCGAGUUGUAAUUUGUAGAGGGUGUUUCGGGCGCGAUGCCGGUCUAAGUUCCUUGGAACAGGACGUCGUAGAGGGUGAGAAUCCCGUAUGCGACCGGCGAUCAAGCCCGUGUGAAGCCCCUUCGACGAGUCGAGUUGUUUGGGAAUGCAGCUCAAAAUGGGUGGUAAAUUUCAUCUAAAGCUAAAUAUUGGCCAGAGACCGAUAGCGGACAAGUAGAGUGAUCGAAAGAUGAAAAGCACUUUGGAAAGAGAGUCAAACAGUACGUGAAAUUGUUGAAAGGGAAGCGCUUGCAAUCAGACCGGUCCGGAGGCGAUCAGCCGCUGCUCGUCAGCGGUGCACUCGCCUGCGAUCCGGCCAGCAUCGGUUUGGGCGGCGGGAUAAAAGUCCCGGGAAUGUAGCUUCCUUCGGGGAGUCUUAUAGCCCGGGUCGCAAUGCCGCCCGCCCGGACCGAGGACCGCGCUUCGGCU